rfam:Lactococcus piscium MKFS47 genome assembly, chromosome: I
UAUUAUCAUAUUAUAUUAGCUUAUUUAUGCUCGAAAUUGGUCGAGCGUCUCUACUUGACACCGUAAUGUCAAACAAUAAGCAAAGAGAAGGUCUCU